UUAAAAUGAAAACUCAAAAUAUAAAUGAAUCUAAUUUAAAAUAUAAUAAUAAAUCCUAUAAUAGAAUAUAACAUAAUACUAAAAAACACUGGAGCGAAACAUCUAUAUAAUCUUGCACCACAAACAUAUAGGCUUUACUGAACGUAUACAUCCAGCAUAUAUCACGCAUUCCUCCUCGUUCGCACUGUCAAUACGUCCCUCUCAGGCCGUUCGUUCCUCUCCACCCUAAAAUUGUUUCAGGCUGCGGAAGACAUUCCAGACCCAAGCAUCUGCUUUCCCCCCUGUUCAUUUCAUCACCCACAGUGUGCCGAGGCCUGAUGGAGCAAACAUGAACACAGUGAACCCUCACUGCACAGCAGAGUCACAUCGAUGUAAACCUCCUGCUUCUCACUUCUCUGUACUGAAUGCACUAGAAACAAACAUGCAGUCGAGUUUAGAGAGGAUUUUGUGUGGGCAACAUAAACAGAAUCUAAACAGAGCGCUGUGUGCUUGUGUGGAUGUGAGAGACAGAGAGUAGCGAGGGAGGGAAAUGGAGUGAGAGAGAACAGCCUGUUCUGGAGAGAAAAGGAGUGUUUCAGUGUGAAACGCCCCGGACCAAAAGUGGUUCCAAAUGUUGGGCUCAGACUGAAUUCAACCAGAGGACAAACAGAAAGAUAGGAAAGGGAAAAAGAGAAAAGACACACACAGAGAAAUUGACAUAAUAAAAGUGAGAUGAUCGUACCAAAACACACUUUCUGUUUGAGUUUCUUUUUUUUACCUCUGCUUUUUCUUGUUUAUUCUCUUUUAUGUGCAAUAAAUACAUGUAUUUGCAGCCCAUAUUGUUCUUCUCUUUUUAUUGCCAUGUGUGGUGCAGUGACUGUGUGACAGAUAUAUUGAAAUAGAAUGGAAUAGACUGAGAAAAAGCUAAGAAAAGGGCCUCCAGGAUGAAAAAGGGAAAAGGAAUAAAAAGGGGGAGAGGAAGUUUUAUAGAAAUGUUGGUGUGUCUCGUCUUGGCUGUUUCGAUCUAAUGAGACAAUAAGUGGUCACCUGAGAGACUGCUGUCCAGACCCAGGGUUGAGGUCAAAGUAUCACCAUUAUUGGUGUGAAACAGGGUCAGUUCUGGAUUCUCACAGAUUCUCUUGUGUUCAGUCACUAAGCUAAUAUUUCAAAGAUCAUUGUGAAUCUAAAUUCAAGGUGAAAACUCUGCUUUAUCAUUUCACUUCAGGUUAAGUCCUCUAAUUUUCUCUUUUUUUAGAUUCAGGUGCUUAAUAGCUGCUAUUGAGUUUUGUCAUGUAGCUAAUUGGGUCGAUCUUAACCUGGUCAUUAUACAUUAAGGAGAGCAAGCUGCAAUUGAAGCAGUUCAAGUUCGCAUGAAGAGCAGAUUUAAUGGAUAAACAAAAAGACCUAAACCCGGUUUCUUCGCACAACUCCUUCUGACUAAAACGAUUUGCCAAAUCUAAAUCUGAUUUUAAUCCGCCUGGAGCACCAACACUUUACUCCAUACCAACCAUUUGAGACAAAUGCAGAGAAACUCUAAUAAUUUAAAUCAUUCACUCCACUAUGGGUGUUCCAUCUCCCACACACUUGUAGAUUCUGAGUCACUCCAAAUAUGUAAAUUAAUGACCAGUCAUUUUUGAAAGUCGACCCACAUUUAGAAAAUGCCUGUCCAUAUUGUUCAUUUUGACAUGCUUCUUUAUUUUAUAGUUCAUGAUAAGGACAAUGAUAUCGCAAGACUAUUUCAACAUUUUAUUUGAAAUUGCUAAACAAUGUAAAUAAAAUUUGAAAAGAUAAUUCUGUCUUCAUUGGUAAUAAUUUGUGUUUAUUUCUUUCCUUUUAAAUUAUGAAAAUACGAGGGGGGAAAAUACUGGCUUUUUUCUAUGAGUCUGAUCCUACAGUUGUCCAGCUUAAUAUUUUUGUGGAAAACAUGAUACAUUUUUCAAGUUUCUUUUAACUACACUGACAAUUUUGAGAAAAUAACUACAAAGGAAGAAUUUACAUUUCCAAUAUGUCCUGAUGUUAUCAUUAAAGACAUGACUGGUAGGAUGAAAGCAGUAUUUCCCCUCUCUAUAUUCUCUGCUGUCUGUGGGGUUAAAAGUUCCUCAUAUUGACGGAUCUGAAUCAAGAGGCUACCCAUAACCCCCUGCUGCCACUAACAAUCCCCCACAUGCACACACAGUUGGAGUGUGAGGAUAAAACCACAACACAGUCUCACACACAUACUGUAUAUAUACACUGCAGAGAUCCAGACACUCUAAUCUGCAACCACAAUCCUUUUUGUAAUGCCAUAAUCCAAAAACUCAGGCUGUUUGUUUAUCUAGAAUUUUGCUAGAUCAACAACAAACCUAAACACUUAAACAAGUCACACUGUCCAAGGGCACACCACCUACCCGGUAAAGAAUAUUAACCAACAGCCUAACCAAUAUUAACCAACAUUACAAACAGACACAUAAAUGACAAAUUAGUAAUUAACCUGAAUACACUUUGAGUAUCUUUGAUGCAUUUUGUUGAUGGCUACACUACCGUUCAAAAGUUUGGGGUCAGUAAUUUUUUUUUUUUAUUAUUUUUAUUAAUAUUUUUAUUGAGCAGAGAUGCAUUAAAUGGAUCAAAAGUGACAGUGAAGACAUUUAUAAUGUUGCCAUUUCUAUUUCAUAUAUAUGCUGUUCUUUUGAACUUUCUAUUCAUAAAAGAAUUCUGAAAAAAUGUAUCACACUUGCACAAAAAGCACAAGUGUUUUCAACUGAUAAUGAUCAGAAAUGUUUCUUGCAGCAAAUCAGCAUAUUAGAAUGAUUUCUGAAGGAUCAUGUGACACUGAAGACUGGAGGAAUAAUGCUGAAAAUUCAGCUUUGGCAUUAGCAGGAAUAAAUUGUUUUAAAAUAUAUUAAAACAGAAAAAGGUUCAUUUAAAUUGUGCUUAAUAUUUAACAAUAUUACUGUUUUUAAUGUAUUUUUGAUCAAAUAAAUGCUGCCUUGGUGAGCAUAAGAGACUUCUUUCAAAAACAUAGGCUCUAAAAAAGAUGGUUCUUUUAAAGGUUCUUUACAUGUAGUAACAGUUCUAUUUAGAACCGUAUGGUCCUGAAGAACCCUUUAUAUGCUGUAAUGGUUCUUUAUGUUACACCGUGUCCUAACCAGACGCGAUGCGAUAAGAUUCUAGCAAUGAGCAGUUUGACUGUCCACACUAGACGCAAUGCGAAAAUGAGAAGCGAUAAAAUCAAUCAAAAACCACAGCCAAUCAGAAGAGAGUGUGGGCGGGCUCUCUCAGGCAAGAUCACAGCAGACACAAUGAAAUGGGCAAGUAUAGUAAAAUUCAUAAAUUUUACACCAUUUAAACAUUAUUUAAAGUACAUACGGACAUUACGGAGUGACUGAACCAAUCUUUGUUAUAGAAUACAAUUGUUUGUUCGCACUGAGUUGACAGUUUGAACGUUCUUGUGUCCAUUUUUUAUUUUCAAGAUCGGAGGUGAAUUAGCCAGUGUUGUUUUCAUUACAGCUAAAAAGCUGGGAACACAGAAUGAUAUUCAAACUCACAUUAGACGCUUUUAACAUCAAAUAAAGCACAUAAACAGUACCUGAUAUUAUCAUUGCCGUACUUUGUGUUGCUGUUCCAGCUGCGGAGAAAUAGAAACCGUUUCUAAAUUAGAAUAUUCGCGUGUCGCCGUUGCGGCUGGUUAGGACAAAAACUCUGAUUAACGUGUCACGUCUGGUUAGGUCACGGUGUUAGGGUUCUUUAUUCCCGCCUUUUUGUUUUUCAAAUCCAUAACUGUCAAAGCCACCUCAUUACUGAUUUUCUGGAGCUCAACCAUCAAACUACAAAGAACUGUCAACACACUCUCAGUUUAAAAGAAUAUAGGUGUGACCAGCUCUGUUCAGUUGAGGAUACUUCUCUCUUAUUGUCCACUAAAUGCUGUCACAUCCCACAACCUCAUCAUCUGCAGAGAGAAAAAGCCACUCAAUUACACCAAAAUGAUGGACUUAAAGACGUGAUUGAGGAUUGUGAAGAUAUUUCACUGGAACUUGGUCUUCAUUAGGCCUACAUCUAUUUUCUGUUUCUAAUAUGUGUUUUACUUCCUUGUGUAUUUAUUCAUGUUCAAUGUCAAUUGUCAUUUAUUAAUGUAUUCAGCUAAUAACUGUUAUUAGAGCACUGUCACACAUUUUUGCUACAAUUUCACGUCAAUAAAAAAUAAAAGUGCAUAAUUGACACA